GUCCACCUGACGGCGCAAGACGGGACACAGUGGCUUGAGUCAGCCCCGGCUACUGCUACCCUGCCCGAUAUCCCCCAGCAUGCACCGCGGUGGCAGGUCGACUCGCCACAAACUUUCCAUAAACAGAGCUAUGAACAUGUGUCACACCGGUUUCUACACAUAGUACAAGAGCUUGUGCCUCUCACCAACCCAAACAUCAGCAUGGUAUGAGUCUUCUCUCUACACUAAGGAACCAGAUGCACCAAACCCAAAGCCUGGAGACAAAGGUCCAGCGCUGACGGUGCGGAGGGG